UUUUUUAUUGAACAAAUUUCUUUGGUGGCGGGAGCAAUCCCACCGCCAGAGGUUAUAACUAAACCAAACUUUUUAUUUACAGUCAAACUUGAUUUAUUAUUACAAUAGUCAAAACUUUCAACAACGGAUCUCUUGGUUCUCGCAUCGAUGAAGAACGCAGCGAAAUGCGAUACGUAAUAUGAAUUGCAGAUAUUCGUGAAUCAUCGAAUCUUUGAACGCACAUUGCGCCCUUUGGUAUUCCAAAGGGCAUGCCUGUUUGAGCGUCAUUUCUCCCUCAAACCCCCGGGUUUGGUGUUGAGCAAUACGCUAGGUUUGUUUGAAAGAAUUUAACGNGGAAACUUAUUUUAAGCGACUUAGGUUUAUCCAAAAACGCUUAUUUUGCUAGUGGCCACCACAAUUUAUUUCA
rnacentral:rRNA from 1 species